rnacentral:misc_RNA from 1 species
UCUCCGUAGGUGAACCUGCGGAGGGAUCAUUAACGAGUUCCCCGUACCGGGUAGAAUUCCCACCCUAUGUUAUCAUUAUCUCUGUUGCUUUGGCGGGCCGCCCGGCCUCGGUCAGGCUACCGGCUCCGGCUGGUAAGCGCCCGCCAGAGGACCCCAAACUCUGAAUAUUAGUGUCGUCUGAGUACUAUAUAAUAGUUAAAACUUUCAACAACGGAUCUCUUGGUUCUG